rnacentral:rRNA from 1 species
CACGUAGGGGGCAAGCGUUGUCCGGAUUUAUUGGGCGUAAAGAGCUCGUAGGUGGUUCGGUAAGUCGGGUGUUAAACCCCCAGGCUCAACCUGGGGACGCCACUCGAUACUGCUGUGACUAGAGUCCGGUAGGGGAGCGUGGAAUUCCUGGUGUAGCGGUGAAAUGCGCAGAUAUCAGGAAGAACACCCAUGGCGAAAGCAGCUCUCUGGGACGGUACUGACGCUGAGACGCGAAAGCGUGGGGAGCGAACAGG